GUGUGUCACUGUCACAGGUGUGUGACUGUCACAGGUGUGUGUCACUGUCACAGGUGUGUCACUGUCACAGGUGUGGGGUCACUGAGGCUCAGCCCAGGUGAGUCCCUGACCCCUCUCCCCUCCCCCCACAGAUCCUGGACGACCUCCUGGAGAUCGAUCGAGUCACCGCCCACUUCUGAGGGCCCCAAAACCCCCAAAAAACCCCCCCAAAAUCCCCAAAAACCCAAAAAUCCCCCCAAAAAACCCCCCCAAAAUCCCCAAAACCCCAAAAAACCCCUCCAAAAUCCCCAAAAACCCAAAAAUCCCCCCAAAAAACCCCCCAAAAUCCCAAAAAACCAAAAAAUCCCCCCAAAAAUCCCCCAAAACCCCCCAAAAUUCCCAAAAAAACCCAAAAUCCCCCCAAAAAUCCCAAAAUUAAAAAAAAAAACCAACCCAAAAACUCCCCAAAAUCCCCCAAAACCCCCCCAAUAAAUCCCGUUUGUACAGAAAAUUCUGGAUUUUGGUUUUAUUUGGGGGGAAUUUUGGGGGUUUGAGGGGAUUUUGGGGCAAAUUUGGGGGAUUUGGGGGGAUUUUGGGGUCGAUUUUGGGGGGAUUUUGGGGUUUUGGGGGGUCACAGUGCUUUGGGGCUCUCACAGUGAAUUUUGGGGAGGGGGUUUCGGGAUUUUUGGUAUCGCUCGGGGGAAUUUGGGGGUUUUGGGGACGGGUUUUGAGCCUUCUCGGGUGCUCUUUGGGAUUCCAGGUGUUUCCAGGUGUUUCCAGCUGUUCUCAGCUCCUUUCCUGCUCAUUUUUGGGGCGUUUCGGGCAAUUCCUGGGUGGUUUUUUUUUUCCCCAAGGUUUUCAGCCUCUCCUGGGUAUUUUUUUGGGGCGGUUCCCAGAUGUUUCCCAGCUGCUUUGGAUUGGUUUUCCGAUGUUUUCGGGUUGUUCUGGCAUUUCUGAUGGGUCCGUGGGGGAUUUUCAGGAAUUUUUGGGGUGUUCCCAGCUGUUUUCCAGGUGUUUCCCCAGCGUUUCCACCUGUUUUCAGAUGUUCUCAGGUGUAUUUCAGUGUUCCCAGCCGAUCUGGGGAAUUUUGGGGAAAUUUUGGGUGUUUCCAGCUGUUUUUCAGGCGUUUUCCAGAUGUUUCUGGCCGGUUCAGGGCUGUUUUUCGGGUGUUCCCAGCUGUUUUCCAGAUGUCCUCAGAUUUUUUCAUGUUUUUGGCUGGGUUUGGGGGUAUUUUUUGGUGUUUCCAGCCAGUUUUGGGGUCUUUUUGGGUGUUCCAAACGGUUUUGGGGUGUUUUGGGGGAUUUGGGGGUGUUUUGGGGGUAAUUUGGGGUGGAUUUCGGUGUAUUUUCAGGAUGGGUUUUGGGCUGUUUAGGGGUAUUUUAGGGCAGUUUUGGGGGUGUUUUGGGCUGGUUUUGGCAGGUUUGGGUUGUUUUUGGUUGUUUUCGGGUUGUUUUUGGUUGUUUUUGGGUUGUUUUUGGACAAUUUUAAGGUGUUUUGGCCUGUUUUUGGCGUGUUUUCAGACAGUUUUUAGGGUGUUUUUAGGCCGCUUUCAGGCAGUUUUUGGGCUGUUUCUGGGGUGGUUUUUGGGCUGUUUCCAGGCAGUUUUCGGGCUGUUUUCAGGCUGUUUUGGGGCUGUUUUUUCGGGCUGUUUUGGGGCUGUUUCCAGGCAGUUCCGGGUGUUCCUGGGGCGCCCCCUCAGGCCCGCAGCAGCUCCUGCAGCUGCUCCCCGAGCGGCAGCGCC
ensembl:lncRNA